GGGGGGUGCAAGCGUUGUUCGGAAUUACUGGGCGUAAAGCGCGUGUAGGCGGCUUGGCAAGUCGGGUGUGAAAUCCCGGGGCUCAACCCCGGAACUGCGUCCGAAACUGCCUCGCUAGAGUCCCGGAGAGGAAGGCAGAAUUCCCAGUGUAGGGGUGAAAUCCGUAGAUAUUGGGAGGAAUACCAGUGGCGAAGGCGGCCUUCUGGACGGUGACUGACGCUCAGACGCGAAAGCGUGGGGAGCAAACAGGAUUAGAUACCCUGGGUAGUCCACGCCGUAAACGUUGUGCACUAGGUGUCGGGGGUAUUCACCCCCUCCCGGUGCCCGCCCGCUAACGCAUUAAGUGCACCGCCUGGGGAGUACGGCCGCAAGGCUA
rnacentral:rRNA from 1 species